UAACGACGCCGGUAGGUGCCC
rnacentral:misc_RNA from 1 species